rnacentral:rRNA from 1 species
GUGGGGAAUAUUGGACAAUGGGCGCAAGCCUGAUCCAGCCAUGCCGCGUGAGUGAUGAAGGCCUUAGGGUUGUAAAGCUCUUUCACCGAUGAAGAUAAUGACGGUAGUCGGAGAAGAAGCCCCGGCUAACUUCGUGCCAGCAGCCGCGGUAAUACGAAGGGGGCUAGCGUUAUUCGGAUUUACUGGGCGUAAAGCGCACGUAGGCGGUUUGUUAAGUCAGAGGUGAAAUCCCGGAGCUCAACUCCGGAACUGCCUUUGAUACUGGCAAGCUAGAGUCAGGUAGAGGUAAGUGGAACUCCUAGUGUAGAGGUGGAAUUCGUAGAUAUUAGGAAGAACACCAGUGGCGAAGGCGGCUUACUGGUCCGGAACUGACGCUGAGGUGCGAAAGCGUGGGGAGCAAACAGGAUUAGAAACCCUGGUAGUCC